UCAUAGAGGAUCACAUCACAUCAUAGAGGAUCACAUCACAUCAUAGAGGAUCACAUCACAUCAUAGAGGAUCACAUCAUAGAGGAUCACAUCACAUCAUAGAGGAUCACAUCACAUCAUAGAGGAUCACAUCACAUCAUAGAGGUUCACAUCACAUCAUAGAGGAUCACAUCACAUCAU